CCUACGGGAGGCAGCAGUAGGGAAUAUUGCUCAAUGGGGGAAACCCUGAAGCAGCAACGCCGCGUGGAGGAUGAAGGUUUUAGGAUUGUAAACUCCUUUUGUUAGAGAAGAUUAUGACGGUAUCUAACGAAUAAGCACCGGCUAACUCCGUGCCAGCAGCCGCGGUAAUACGGAGGGUGCAAGCGUUACUCGGAAUCACUGGGCGUAAAGAGUGCGUAGGCGGGGUAAUAAGUCGGAUGUGAAAUCCUGUAGCUUAACUACAGAACUGCAUUUGAAACUGGUACUCUGGAGUGUGGGAGAGGUAGGUGGAAUUCUUGGUGUAGGGGUAAAAUGCGUAGAGAUCAAGAGGAAUACUCAUUGCGAAGGCGACCUGCUGGAACAUAACUGACGCUGAUGCACGAAAGCGUGGGGAGCAAACAGGAUUAGAUACCCGGGUAGUC
rnacentral:rRNA from 1 species